rnacentral:miRNA from 1 species
GCCUGGAAAAGCUCUCUUUCU